ensembl:lncRNA
CUUGAGUCAAAAGGCCAUUCAAACGUACACAUCAUCACUGUUACUUUAGAAAAGUAUUAUUGGCCAAGUGAGAACUGUCUUACCGGCAAUGAACGUUUGCUCUCUUCAUCUUUCAAUUUCUUGCAAAAGAACAACUUUGGAGAUGUUUAGUCUCUGCCAUUAAUAGGCUUGUUGUCCCUUUAUGCAUGUCAAGGGAAUUGACACUGUUGUUUUCUUCUCUAUUCUCAAUUUCCUUGAGGUUAGUAAUGGCCUACCGCCUCCAUCAACAUGAGGGACAUCCAGCUCUAGUUCAGACGGCAGCUGACACAACUGAUGGCGCUAUGUGAAGUCCCCUCAUCUAUUCUAAUCUUUGGCCUGACAGUGCAGCAUCUUCCAAUAUGUACUAUUUUGAUUUGAGAAAGUAGCAAGGGUAAAGUAGCAAGGUAAAUUGGAAAGAUUAAGAGAAUCUUACUCAGAAAGCUUAAUCAUGACAUUCUCCACAUACUGUAUUAAUGAAUUAUUCUUUGUAAGGGUCAGAAAAUAGGCUAAAUGUUUUUGAUAAUGUAUUUUUUCAAAUUUAGGCUGAUUUCAGGCUUAAAUAUACUGUACAUAUUCAAAAUACAUGUUGUUAUUUUUAACAUAGUUUACAACCAAAAUAAUGAACUGAUAGUAUAAUUAAGCAUGAAAAUAUGGAUUGUGCAUCAAGUAUCAAGAUAGAAGGCCUAUAUACAAACAAAAGUAUUAUAAUAUUGCUAAAAGUGAAGAUAAUCUUAUUAUACUCAUUGUAAAAAGGGAACUGUGUUGUUGAAUUUAGUAAACUGCUUGAUUUGUGUCAUUGCCAUCCUUGCCACGUUCAUGUGAAAGUCUAAUCCUAGUAAUUCAGGGAACCAAGAUGCUAUUUCAAGGUUCAGCUGUUCACUACUCGAUGAGGACCCAAAAAGGUAUUUUGACGAGAAAAUUCUCAAAAUUUCUCGGGAAUUCAGAAAUCAAGUUGCCUAUGUGCAGUUAACAUAUUCCAACACAUACUAAAUUAUUCCAACAAUCAUAAAUAAUUACAUAUAUUUCACACAUAGCAUGUACAUACAAAAAUAAAUCUAUUUGUACCUAGAAGUACACUGGCACAAGCCCUAACAAUGGCAAAAAAAACAUGAUAGAGGAUUAAUCUGGGCUUUGAUAUUCGGCACAUACAGCUCAGGUGUAUAGGAUUGUCUAUCUUUGGAGAAAAAAAGAGAAAUUCUGGAUUCAAUUUUAGGUCUGCUCUGUAGAAUGGGUUUGAUUCAUGAAGCCUUAGAACCAAUCAGGGACAGUUGGCCAACCUAUUGAGGGAACACUAAUAAUAAACAGCAUUGAGUUGUUUGUUGACUAUCAAUUUGAAGCAAGUAUUCUGACAUUGAAUUGCACUCAACUUUAAGAGGGAGAUUUAAAUGACUGAAUGAAUGAUUUAUUCGAUGGCUGUGAUUCAUACUGUUGUGCCGCUGUAUUACAUCAUGUCAGAUGGUUUAUCCAUGAUGUUUUCAAAGUCUCCACUUUUAUGACACAGACAUUUUCCCUUAUAAAGAGAGUCAUUAACAUGUGCUAUAAAUCUAUUGGAUACAGGAUGAAAGGCAAGUUUGUUGGUCGACAAGUUGGGUAGACUUCUAUUGGAAAAGGGCUCAGGAGACAGAGGUUUAGCUGAAUUAUCUAGCACACUUGCAGUACCUUCGGAGGAUGGCAGGUUUAUUUCAGACAGACAGUACUGCAGGAAAGAUUGUGUGUACUCAUUCUCUGAUAAUGAAGGCCCUCCAGACAGAGAUUUAAUUUCGAAUCUAUUCUCCUUUCCCCCAGAGGGCUCUACCUUUUUAAAUGCAGUGCUACAUUUUUCGAUGUCUGCAUGUUCUUGUUGAUUCACAUCCCACGGUAUCCAGUUUUUUUCCGGCAUGGGUUCUUGACAUGGUUCAUGGUUGUGUUCUAGUACAUAUGGGUGUGGUGAGUUUGGCUCUUUUCUAAGGUCAAGGGGCUCUUUUAGGUAAGCUGAACAAGACGUAGGCGACUGAGAAUCCGUGUUGAAAUCAGAGACAUACUCAUUGCUUUGCUUUGAAAAUGAUCCCUCAAAGGAUAAAGACUGAUCCGAUAUAAUUUCAGUCAAAACCGUAGACUGUGGCUUGAAAUGGUAACCCCAAGCCAGACCUUCUCUGUUUUCACACAAUUUCUGAUUGCACAAGUGGUGUGUAUUUAGAUGUCCUCCUUUGUAUACAGGAUCAUACGUAUGGCACAUCAAUUUGCAAGGGACUGUAUUGUAAAAUAAAUUAUAUUGAGGAGUCAAUGGGAUUGUAUCACAUGUGUCUAAAACUACAUGUGCACAACUUCUUUCUAAAGACACCUUAGGAUCAGGCUCAUUAGGAUAACCAAAUGUGUGUCUUUGAGGAUUACAGAUGGAGUUGGUUUGAUUUGUACGAUGUUCCUGUUUAAAGUCAGAUAGAAUUGACAUUGGAGAAUCAGGCCUUAUAUCUUCAAAUAGAUAUCCAAGACAAAGAUCAUUACAUUCAAUAUCUGAAGCUGCUGAUACUGGCGAUCUUGAUCUAUUUGCUGAGUACUCAACAACAUACUCACAGUACUGGGGCAUGAAUUGGGGAAUAAGUGAGUCAGGAGAAAGGGAUGAAAACUCAUCAUGAGAAGCAAUAGAUUCAGGGGAGUGAGGUCUCAACUCAUUGACCCAAUUGCAAAGGAAUUCCUGUUUACCGUCAUUGUCUGUUGAGUACAUUUCAGCUGAAGGUGAUCUAGCCUCACAGAUUUCCUCUUCAUGGAAAUACUCUGAUUUCAUUUUCAAAUGACACCUCACAACAUCUGCAUACUUCAAAGGUUUUGUCAAUACGGCACGUCUGAUAUUUGACAUUGAAACAUCUAUUUCUUGAUCUUUGAAAUUAAAUGUAAAGGAGUCAGGUGAAUCUGGUCGAAUCUCAUCAAACAACUCUUUGAUACAAAAGCCAAAUAAUUCUGGGUCAGAUGCCAUGGACUGAGACAAUGAGGGUCUCCUUUCAAAGAAUCGCAAGUAAUAGUCACAAUGUUGGGACUCAAGUGGAACAAAGGUAUUGUCAGAACAGACACAACUUAGAUCAGCAGAUGUUACUGAUUCAGGGGAAGAUGGUCUCAACUCGGCUAACCUGUUCUGAACAAGGGAACAAUCUACAUCUGAAGAGAUUAAUUCUGCAGAGAAAGGCCAGCUAUCAAACACAUGUUCCAGUUUAAAGUCAGAUAGAACUGACAUUGGAGAAUCAGGCCUUAUCGCUUCAAACAGAUAUCCAAGACUAAGAUCAUUACAUUCAAUAUCUGAAGCUGCUGAUACAGGCGAACUUGAUCUAUUUGCUGAGUACUCAACAACAUACUCACAGUACUGGGGCAUGAAUUGGGGAAUGGGUGAGUCAGGAGAAAGGGAUGAAAACUCAUCAGGAGAAGCAAUAGAUUCAGGCGAGGGAGGUCUCAACUCAUUGACCCAAUUGCAAAGGAAUUCCUGUGUAUCCUCAUUGUCUGAUGAGUACAUUUCAGCUGAAGGUGAUCUAGCCUCACAGAUUUCCCCUUCAUGGAAAUCC